AGCAAAGUGGGUGGGUGGGUGGGUGGGUAUGGGGGGUUCUUCGGGGGGGAUGGGGGUGGGCUUUGUGGGAAGCGAGCCAAAGGACAAUGCCACUCAGAUGAUGCCACGUGGAAGCCUUGUCCAUAUUGGAGUCCUGACUAAUCCGGAUCGCGCGUUACAGGGCCCAUUAAGGUGACAGAGCUCCCAAUAGAGUUUUCUUCAUACCCAGGGUCGAACCCUCGACGUUUGGUUAAGGGUGGAGCAGCCUCAUCCACUGCACCACAACCCAUGUUAUAACAGUUGUAGCUUAGCUUUUAUUGUUAGUUUUCUUAAUAAAGGAAAAAUGGAAAUGGAUUUGGGCCUAAAUUCUAAUUAAAGAUGUUUAUAAUUUAUAUUA